rnacentral:rRNA from 1 species
CCCUUAGAUGUUCUGGGCCGCACGCGCGCUACACUGAUGCAUUCAACGAGUUUCUUCCUGGUCCGAGAGGAAUGGGUAACCUUUUGAAAGUGCAUCGUGAUAGGGAUAGACUAUUGCAAUUAUUGGUCUUCAACGAGGAAUUCCUAGUAGACGUAGUUCAUAAGACUGCAUCGAUUACGUCCCUGCCCUUUGUACACACCGCCCGUCGCUCCUACCGAUUGAAUGCUCAGGUGAGCCAUUCGGACUUUCAUCAUGCUGGUUUCCAGUUUUGAUGAAGGAAAGUCUUGCGAACCUUAUCAUUUAGAGGAAGGAGAAGUCGUAACA